UACAGAGGUCUCAAGCGUUGUUCGGAUUCAUUGGGCGUAAAGGGUGCGUAGGCGGCGCGGUAAGUCGGGUGUGAAAUCUCGGAGCUUAACUCCGAAACUGCAUUCGAUACUGCCGUGCUUGAGGACUGGAGAGGAGACUGGAAUUUACGGUGUAGCGGUGAAAUGCGUAGAUAUCGUAAGGAAGGCCAGUGGCGAAGGCGGGUCUCUGGACAGUUCCUGACGCUGAGGAGCGAAAGCGUGGGGAGCGAACAGG
rnacentral:rRNA from 1 species